AUUGAACGCUGGCGGCAUGCCUUACACAUGCAAGUCGAACGGUAACAGGUCUUCGGAAGCUGACGAGUGGCGAACGGGUGAGUAAUACAUCGGAACGUGCCUAGUAGUGGGGGAUAACUACUCGAAAGAGUGGCUAAUACCGCAUGAGAUCUACGGAUGAAAGCAGGGGAUCGCAAGACCUUGUGCUACUAGAGCGGCCGAUGGCAGAUUAGGGAGUUGGUGGGAUAAAAGCUUACCAAGCCGACGAUCUGUAGCUGGUCUGAGAGGACGAUCAGCCACACUGGGACAGAGACACGGCCCAGACUCCUACGGGAGGCAGCAGUGGGGAAUUUUGGACAAUGGGCGAAAGCCUGAUCCAGCAAUGCCGCGUGCAGGAUGAAGGCCUUCGGGUUGUAAACUGCUUUUGUACGGAACGAAAAGCCCCGGGUUAAUACCCUGGGGUCAUGACGGUACCGUAAGAAUAAGCACCGGCUAACUACGCGCCAGCCGCCGCAGUAA
rnacentral:rRNA from 1 species